rnacentral:lncRNA from 10 species
UUUAAAAAUAGAGCGUGUGUGAGUGCAGCGUCUCUCCAACAGUCUACAAAUGGCUUUGCUGCUUUUCAUUUCUUUGCAACUCUUGAAGGGUCCUGUUUCAAACUUUGAUUUCUCCAAAUCGUGGCAACAACAUGAAAUAAAAAGGUCUGCACCCUCGGAGAGAUUGGAGUGGGUGUGGAGGCAGCUGACGUGGAGCCAACAGAGUGUUCAUUAUGGGAAUACAGCAUGAGUUAAAAGUCACAAUCACUGAUUUCAAGGAGCUUGUAUUCUCCUAGGAAGGGGAAAGUUAUGUGUUCUUCCUGAGCCCCACUGAGUGUAGUAAAGAUCCAAGCAGACACAAGGUGGCAGCUACCAGGAGAUGCCUGGAGUCCAGGAAAGAGGCCAGGACUCGAGGGAACCGUAGCGUCGCAUCCUACAGAUGACACUGAACCCUGGAGCCGGACCGGAGGAGGAGGACGG